rnacentral:rRNA from 1 species
AUUGAACGCUGGCGGCAUGCCUUACACAUGCAAGUCGAACGGUAGCAGGUCUUCGGAUGCUGACGAGUGGCGAACGGGUGAGUAAUACAUCGGAACGUGCCCAGACGUGGGGGAUAACGAGGCGAAAGCUUUGCUAAUACCGCAUACGAUCUAAGGAUGAAAGCAGGGGACCGCAAGGCCUUGUGCGUUUGGAGCGGCCGAUGGCAGAUUAGGUAGUUGGUGGGAUAAAAGCUUACCAAGCCGACGAUCUGUAGCUGGUCUGAGAGGACGACCAGCCACACUGGGACUGAGACACGGCCCAGACUCCUACGGGAGGCAGCAGUGGGGAAUUUUGGACAAUGGGCGCAAGCCUGAUCCAGCAAUGCCGCGUGCAGGACGAAGGCCUUCGGGUUGUAAACUGCUUUUGUACGGAACGAAAAGACACUGGCUAAUACCUGGUGUUGAUGACGGUACCGUAAGAAUAAGCACCGGCUAACUACGUGCCAGCAGCCGCGGUAAGAC